AUUGAACGCUGGCGGCAGGCUUAACACAUGCAAGUCGAGCGGGGUGAUGGUGCUUGCACUAUCACUUAGCGGCGGACGGGUGAGUAAUGCUUAGGAAUCUGCCUAUUAGUGGGGGACAACAUCUCGAAAGGGAUGCUAAUACCGCAUACGUCCUACGGGAGAAAGCAGGGGAUCACUUGGGACCUUGCGCUAACAGAUGAGCCUAAGUCGGAUUAGCGAGUUGGUGGGGUAAAGGCCUACCAAGGCGACGAUCUGUAGCGGGUCUGAGAGGAUGAUCCGCCACACUGGGACUGAGACACGGCCCAGACUCCUACGGGAGGCAGCAGUGGGGAAUAUUGGACAAUGGGGGGAACCCUGAUCAAGCCAUGCCGCGUGUGUGAAGAAGGCCUUAUGGUUGUAAAGCACUUUAAGCGAGGAGGAGGCUCUUUUGGUUAAUACCCAAGAUGAGUGGACGUUACUCGCAGAAUAAGCACCGGCUAACUCUGUGCCAGCAGCCGCGGUAA
rnacentral:rRNA from 1 species